GAGAGAUAGAGAUAGAGAGAGAUAGAGAGAGAUAGAGAGAGAUAGAGAGAGAGAGAGAGAGAUAGAGAGAGAUAGAUAGAGAUAGAUAGAGAUAGAUAGAGAUAGAGAGAGAUAGAGAUAGAGAUAGAGAUAGAUAGAGAUAGAGAUAGAGAGAGAUAGAGAUAGAGAGAGAUAGAGAUAGAGAUAGAGAGAGAUAGAGAUAGAGAGAGAUAGAGAGAGAUAGAGAUAGAGAGAGAUAGAGAGAGAUAGAGAUAGAGAGAGAUAGAGAGAGAUAGAGAGAGAUAGAGAGAGAUAGAGAGAGAUAGAGAG
rnacentral:lncRNA from 1 species